rnacentral:lncRNA from 1 species
AGGAUUAUGCUUUCAUGCAAAUCAAGGUGAUAUGGAGCUAUUUGCUGAGGAACUUUGAGCUCGAGUUGAUCUCUCCUUUCCCUGAGCUAGAGAAUGACAAAAUAUUACCAGGACCUAGGGGCGAAGUGAUGGUUACUUACAGGAGAAGGUCAAUAGUUAAUUAGCACGCAUGCAUGUAAAGUAUGAAUUUGUAAGCUAACUGUGUGUCCGUGUGUCAUUUUUAUACGUGUGAAUUAAUAUAUAGUAAAUAUGUGCUAGAAAAGGGAGAACAAUUAGCAUUUGUGAAAUACCUCGCCAUUACAGUGGGUGUGUGAGUUAGAAAUGUGGUCAUGUGUGUAUGUGUACACGUUCAAGUUAUGCUUGUUCUGUAAAGAAAGUCUGUUCUUAUUGCCCUGCUAAUAAAAAGAAAUUUAUUACUCCAAUAUUUUUCAGAAUAUAAUACUCCAUAUGCUUCAAAAUAUGUGUAUUAGGUUUUGCAGGUAAUCUACAGAGGAACUAGCUGGAUUCCUAGGUGGUCGUGACUCAGCCGUGCGGAAGCCAAAGAGUAUAUGGCUUAUGGGUGCAACUGAUGGGAGACGGUAGCACGAGAUACCUACAACCAGUUUGGAUGGCGGUUCAAUAUGAUAGGUGCAUAUGGCUUUGAGUUCUUCCUUUACUUUAUCUCUUAUACUACAAACUUGUUGGAUCUUUUGGUUAAUAAGAUGGCUGCAUGCAUCGCUUUCAUGUAGAGGUCAAGGAUAAUCCUUCUUUUCUAAAAAAAUAGGUUUUGUUAAGACAAGAUUUUGACACACAGUUAAACUAAACUAUGUAACAUAUGCGAUAUAAAACCAUAACCCUGAAAAGUACCUUUUUUUGAGCAUCAGUACAGACACAAGCGCUCAUAUACACGCGCAUACACUCACCCCUAUAAACGCACACUGAGCCGGCAUACCAUCUUGAGAUUUACGAAGCCACCAUAGGCACCUCGUCGUCGACGGAAACGUCUCCUCCCACUGAAAGCGCAUCGCUGGAAAUCCUGAAAUAAAUCAAGGAAUAAUGCGAGCACCAGGAUUUGAACCCUGGUGGGUUGGGGAUACCAUUGUCCACCUAACCAUCUCAGCCACAGGUUAAAUCCAAUGACAUUGAUCUCAUGUUACAUAAAAAAUAUACGUAUUUUAUUAUAAUAGUCCUAACAAAACCUUAUAUGCUAGGUGUUUUGAAACGGAAGGCAUAAUGUUCAAAAUCUUAUAUUUAUUAAUUGGAGGCACCAUCAAAGGCUCCACGGUAAUUCUGGAGGUUAGAAAAUUUCAUCCAUAGGAUUAACUAAUGGUAGUAAAAUAGCCCGUCAGAUGUGAUCUACCUAUUCGGCCAAUUCCACCAGCCUGAAAGAAGGAAUCUAAUCGAGGACCCUAAUCGCUUUCCAUCCUCCUCCGUAAAAAAAAAUGGAAACAGAGGAAUACAUCUCCUCCUUGGAAAGCGAUUAGUUUCUCCUUCAUCUUGAGCUGGCCAAUCAAUUAGGAUCUCCAAUAGACGAGGUGAAGUGAUUACAAAGAUCAUGCCAAGGGAAGAUGGAGAGUACUGGCCGGCAGCAAUCUAGCAGCUCCAUUCUUUGAUCUACCUGCAUAGGCUGGCUGCAUCAUGCCUCCAGAUGCAGACAAAGGUACUGCAUAAAGCAUGUCUGAUAUUACUACGUGUGGCUGCUUUAGAUUUGGGUAGUUCGAAUGAUUGGGUAUACGAGUAGAAUUUCUUGAUACAUUCAUAAGCAAGGUGUGGUAACUACAUAUAUGUCACUAUUUUUGCCAUAAUUAGGAGAAAUAAAUAUUAAAAACGAUUAUAUGCUGAAAUCUCCAUACCCAUAUACUAAAGGGAGGUAGUAGAAAUAAUCCCUACGUCUCUCAUCCCUCCGAAAGAUGCGAAACACACACACCCACACACCCACACACACACAGACGCAGACAAUUAUCUAUGUGCUACAGCAAUAUAUGCAUAUGUGUUGGCAGUAUUGCCAAUAAAAAAUAUAUAUAAUCGUGAAUUUAUCUCAACCAAUUUUUUGACAUCUAUUUGAUGUAGUUUACUGGAAAAAACUAACAAAAAAUAGAACAAAAAAACUUCGAAUGUUUUAUGUAAAUGGUACUGAAUGAUUCAGAACUUCCUAAAUAUGUUCCCGAUGACAUAUGCUCAAUGGCAGACACACAAGACCAAACUCUACAGCGCCUAGCGAGCGAUCCCUGGGAGAACAAAAACUACAAGGUGCAUAUAGUACUUUAACGACAAUAGAAUCUGCUGAUCGGUCCUGAAAGAAGACGGCAUGGCCCUUGGUUAGCCAAGGCGUUGAUGAGCAGACCGUUGCCCGACGAGGUCAAGUAGUAUAAGGACACCCAUAACAAGAGUUGAUGGCGAGUACCGUCCUGUGCAGCUCCAUGAGUCGCUUUGGUCAUGUACACGUAGCAAUCUGACUGCAUGCAUGGGCUCAAGAUGUGUUGACACCAGAUUUUGGCACGGUCAAUAACUUAUUUAAGAUGGCCUCAAAUGGAGAAGUGAUCUUCAUGAAAGAGUUCCGUAUUGUCGAUAUGAACAUCUUUGAAGUUUGGGUCAUCGCAGUCCGAUUUCAUCUCGAAGGCCGAAACUAUACUCAAAGUACUAAGAUCAUAUAUUCAGAGUACAGUUUGGCUGAUUAAGCCCCCAAGACGACCUCAAAUGGAAACAUUAUAUACACGGAUUGUCUUCGUCUCGUCGAAACGAUCGAUUUUGAUAUAAAAAUCGUUCCAAUGCGAGUUCGUAUGCAAAAGUUAGAGCCAUCGGAACACAGCCCUGUCACGAGGCAAAAACUGGCGCGCCCCACCAGACACCCUGUCUGAUGGGUAGCGCGAGGGAUAGCCUGUUUUGCGCGACCAUUUGACUCUCGAGAUGAUCUCUGAUCAAAAAACGUUCAACAUAAAAGUUGUUCGUCUCGUUGAAACGGUCAAGAUUGCUUUUGGGCUCGUUUCCAUCCGAGAUCGUUUACCACCACAAAAAGACCUGCAAGGUGUAGCCAGUUUAAACCGAACAGUUUUGGAAAGUUCGGACAAAAUCAAUCCGAAUUUGACUAGGGUUUUGGACGUGGAUCCAAGCCUUUUCCUGGCACGGGAAGUCCAGCCGCCUCUUAUAUACCUAAGGGGUGACGGCCGAUUGAAUAACCCACAAUCGAUCAAUCAAUCUACCACUUUUUAUCUUUUAUCUUUUCUCCUUAACCCUAGUUGUUCUUCUUCCUCGUUCUUCGUUUGUUCUUCUUCAUUGCAGGGAGGCGAACCUCGAGGCCCUAGGGGCGAUCAGGUCAUUCUAGGGCAGCCCAUAGCCGCCACGCGCCCAGACGGGGUCCCUCCCGGGCGUGUGGGGUUUCGGGUCCCAAAAGCGCCGGCUUGCUGUCUUGCGUAUCGCGCUGGAAGUCGGCCUCCCGCGGUGUGAGUUGCGGAGCAUCUCCCUCGGCGCCGCGGGUACACAUCGACGUGUUCGUGUGACGCGUUCCAGCGUCAACACACUUUUUGGCGACUCCGCUGGGGAUGAAGCUUUGAACGGUCUCCAGCCCGUUCUUGCUACGAAGAGAUCGUCAUCUAGGGUUUGCAAUCUACAAAGGUAACAUGAAUACCCAAUUCACUUAUGUAGAUGCAAAAAAUACAUAUGUUGUUGCUAGAUCGUCUAAUGAACAUAUUGUAUCGACUAGCCCUAGUUUUAUCAAUCAUGCAUCUAAUUAUGUGCAACAGCCGAUUCAGAAUAAUCUUCAUGCUUCAACUUCAUAUAAUUUUAGCAACAUGCAACAUAUGUAUCCCAACUCCCAUGCAUCGGCAACCCCACAAAUCUAUAUGCCGAUGAACAACAUGAUGAGUUCGGUUAAUCAUGUUGAGACACCCCAUGUAGGAACUUCCAAUAGUAUGCAACAAAGUGUUUCAACUUUUUAUUCAACGGCAAAUAACUUGCAGUAUGUUUAUCCAAACGUGCCGGUGGAUAGGGGAAUUGGCCAUGCCACUACUAGUUAUUCGGCCAAUUACCCUCAAACAUCGUAUGCUACACCUCAUGCUACGAAUUUUUCGGCACCAUACGCAAUUGUAGAUAUUCGUGAUUCGGCUCCGCACCUUCAGGACGACACUAGUGUCUUAGCAUCUCUGCAAAACUCGAUCAAGGUUGCACAAAGAAUCAUCAAAAGAGGAUCCAUAGACGGAGAAGUCAUCCAUGAAUACCUCACAAAUCUUUUCACAAAAAUCAGAAAAUAUAGCCAUCAUGUAUCUUUGAAAGGUAGCAGGUGCAUUACAUAAACCAAAAGGCAUACGUCUAUAAGCAAAAGCACCAAAAGGGCAAGUAAAAGUAGUUUUAGAUUGAUCCCUCGCAGAUACAGGUAUCUGAGAGAAGCCAGAAUAACCAUCUAGAAAGCAAAAAUGUGUGUGUUUGGAUAGGCUUUCUAGCAUUUGAUCAAUAAAUGGUAAAGGGUAAUGGUCUUUCUUAGUAGCUUUAUUUAACUUACGAAAAUCAAUUACCAUCCUAUAACCUUAAUAAUUCUUUGCGGGAUCAAUUCAUCUUUAUCAUUAGGGACAACGGUAAUACAUCCCUUUUUAGGGACACAAUGGACAGGGCUUACCCAUUCACUAUCAGCAACGGGAUGAAUAAUACCUGCCUCAAGGAGCUUUAGUAUCUCCUUUCUUACCACUUCCUUCAUUUUGGGAUUUAAUCGUCUUUGAGGAUCUCUAACUGGUUUGGCAUCUUUCUCCACUGAAAUUUUAUGUUGACAUAAUGUGGGACUAAUGCCCUUAAGAUCAUCCAGAGUAUAUCAAAUAGCAGCUCGGUGCUUCUUCAGAGUUUUCAAUAAUCUUUCUUCUUCUUUCUCUGAAAGUUUAGCACUAAUAAUAACAGGAUAUAUUUCUUUUUCAUCAAGAUAAGCAUACUUAAGAUUAUCAGGUAAGGGUUUGAGUUCAAACACAGGAUCACCCUUGGGUGGAGGGGGAUCCCCAAGAAUUUCAACGGGAAGAUUAUGUUUCAACAUAGGUUCUUGUUUAAGGAACACUUCAUCUAUUUCUUCCCUUUCCUUCAUAAACAUAUCGUUUUCAUGGUCUAGCAAAUAUUGUUCUAACGGAUCAGUUGGUGGAACAGCAAUGGAAGCAAGACCAAUAAUUUCAUCCUUACUAGGUGGUUCCCUUUCACGAGGUUGUCUACUAAACUUAGCAAAAUUAAACUCAUGAGACAUACCAUCUAUGCCAACAGUGACAAUAUUCUUUUCACAAUUAAUCUUAGCACUAGCAAUAUUCAAGAAGGGUCUACCAAAAAUAAUGGGACAAAAAUCAUCUUGUGGGGAACCAAGAACAAGAAAAUCAGCAGGGUAUUUAAUCUUCCCACACAAGACUUCAACAUCUCUAACAAUCCCAAUAGGUUUAAUGGUGUCCCUAUUAGCAAGCUUAAUAGUAACAUCAAUGUCUUCUAAUUUAACAGGUGCAAUAUCGUGCAUAAUUUCUUUAUAAAGAUCAUAAGGUAUCGCAUUAGCACUAGCACCCAUAUCACAUAAACCGUUAUAACGAUGAUAUCCUAUUUUAACAGAAAUAACAUGCGUGCCUACAACAGGUCUACGUAUCUUAGUAUCAGGUCUAGCAAUAUUAGCAGUUUCACCACAAAAAGAGAUAACAUGCCCAUCUAAGUCCUCAUCCAAAAGAUCUUUAAUCAUAGCAAUACCAGGUUCAACAUUAAUUUGCUCAGGAGGUGUAUAGGUCCUAGUAUUACUCUUCCGGACAACAGUCGAAGCUUUGACAUGAUCUUUUAUCCUAACAAGAAAAGGACAUUUUUGAACAUAAGCAGUAGGAAUAAUGGGAUCACUAUAUGUAAUAGUCUUCUCUUUGACUGUAAUAGGUGUAACUACUUUAACUUCAACAGGAGGAUUAUAUUUAAACCACUUCUCUUUAGGGAGAUCAACGUGGGUAGAAAAAGUUUCACAAAAAGUAGCUACUAUCUCAGAGUCAAGUCCAUACUUAGAGCUAAAUCCACGGAAAGCAUAGGUAUCCAUAAAAGAUUUAACACAAUCGAACUUAGGUGUCAUACCUGACUCCUUACCAUCAUCGUAACCCCAAUCUUCAGAGUUGCGUUUAAUUCUUUCCAAUAAGUCCCAUUUGAAAUCAAUAGUCCUCAGCAUAUAGGAACCAGCACAGGAAGUAUCGAGCAGGUUGCGAGUAUCAAGAGAAAGCCAAGCAUAAAAAUUCUGAAUAAUCAUUUCCUGAGAGAGCUCAUGAUUGGGGCAUGAAUAUAACAUUGACUUAAGCCUCCCCCAAGCUUGAGCGAUGCUUUCUCCUUCGCGAGGCCAGAAAUUAUAUAUGUAAUUACGAUCACGAUGAACAAGAUGCAUAGGAUAGAACUUCUGGCGAAAUUCCAACUUCAAUCGCUUAUAGUUCCAAUAUCUCAUAUCAUCACAUAGCCUAUACCAUGUCAUUGCAUCUCCCUUCAAAGAUAAAGGGAAGACCUUCCUUUUGACAACAUCAUUGGGAAUACCUGCAAGCUUAAAUAAUCCACAAACUUCAUCCACGAAGAUAAGGUGUAAGUCAGGAUGCAAUGUUCCGUCUCCUGCAAAAGGAUUAGCUUGCAGUUUCUAUAUCAUACCCGAAGGAAUCUCAAAGUGAAUAUUUUCAUAAGGUUCAGUAGGUUGAGGAGCAUCCAUUGGCUCUUCUGGUUGGGGUGAAGAUACCCCAAACAAGCCCCUCAAAGGAUUAGUUCCAUAGUGACAAGUAACAGAAAAUUUUAGCACACUAUAUAAAUGUUUCCUUACCAAGUCGACUCACCAAGAGCGCUACGCUCCCCGGCAACGGCGCCAGAAAAGAAUCUUGAUGACCCACAAGUAUAAGGGAUCUAUCGUAGUCCUUCCGAUAAGUAAGAGUGUCAAACCCAACGAGGAGCAGAAGGAAAUGAUAAGCGGUUUUCAGUAAGGUUUUCUCUGCAAGCACUGAAAUAGUAGGUGAUAGAUAGUUUUGUGAUAAGAUAAAUAGUAACAAGCAAAAAGUAAAUAAAGUAAAUAAAGUGCAGCAAGGUGGCCCAAUCCUUUUUGUAGCAAAGGAUAAGCCUGGAAAAACUCUAAUAAUGAAGAAGGAGCUCCCGAGGACACAUUGGGAAUUAUCGUCAAGCUAGUUUUCAUCACAUUCAUAAGAUUCGCGUUCGGUACUUUGAUAAUUUGAUAUGUGGAUGGACCGGCACUUGGGUACUGCCCUAACAUGGACAAGCAUCCCACUUAUGAUUAACCCCUAUUGCAAGCAUCUGCAACUACAAAAAGGAGUAUUAAGGUAAACCUAACCACAACAUUAAACAUAUGGGUCCAUAUCAACCCAUAACGAAGGAACGCAUAAACAAGGGUUUAUGCUUCUGUCACUCUAGCAACCCAUCAUCCACUUAUUACUUCCCUAUGCCUUCCUCUAGGCCCAAAUAAUGCUUAAGUGUCAUGUAGUCGACGUUCACAUAACACCAAUAGAGGAGAGACAACAUACAUCUCAUCAAAAUAUCGAACGAAUACCAAACUCACAUGACUACUAAUAGCCAGACUUCACCCAUGUCCUCAGGAACAAACGUAACUACUCACAAAGCAUAUUCAUGUUCAUAAUAAUAGGGGUAAUAAUAUGCAUAAAGGAUCUCAACAUAUGAUCUUCCACCAAGUAAACCAAAUAGCAUCAACUACAAGGAGUAAUCAACACUACUAGCAACCCACAGGUACCAAUUUGUGGUUUUGAUACAAGAUUGGAUACAAGAGAUGAACUAGGGUUUUGAGAGGAGAUGGUGCUGGUGAAGAUGUUGAUGGAGAUUGACCCCCUCCUGAUGAGAGGAUCGUUGGUGAUGACGUUGGUGAUGAUUUCCCCCUUCCAGAGGGAAGUGUCCCCGGCAGAAUAGCUCCGCCAGAGCCCUAGAUUGAUUCCGCCAAGGUUCCGCCUCGUGGCAGCGGAGUUUCGUCCCGUAAGCUUGCCCACGAUUUUUUCCAGGACAAAACCCUUCAUAUAGCAGAAGAUGGAAGCUGGAAUCCCACCAGGGGGCCAGGAGAUAGGGGGGCACGCCCUACAGGGGGGCGCCCCAUGUCUCCUGGACAGGGUGUGGGCCCCUGGCCUAUUUCUUUUGCCCAAAAAUUCUUAUUAAGUCUACAAAGUUGUUUCGUGGAGUCUCAGGUCUUUUGGAGUUGUGCAGAAUAGGUUUCCAACAUUUACUCCUUUUCCAGCCAGAAUUCCAGCUGCAGGCAUUCCCCCUCUUCAUGCUAAACCUUGUAAAAUAAGAUAUAAUGCGUAAUAACAGUCCAUAAUGCAAUAAAUAUUGAUAUAAAAGCAUGAUGCAAAAUGGACGUAUCAUCUAUCAAAUGUCACAACGUAACUGGGUGAUUAUAAAGAUGCUUUACAGGUAUCUCCAAAGGUGUUUGUUGGGUUGGCAUAGAUCGAGAUUGGGGUUUGUCACUCCGAGUAUUGGAGAGGUAUCUCUGGGCCCUCUCGGUAAUGCACAUCAUAAUAAGCCUUGCAAGCAAUGUGACUAAUGAGUUAGUUGUGGGAUGAUGCAUUACGGAACGAGUAAAGAUUCUUGCUAGUAACAAGAUUGAACUAGGUAUGAAGAUACCGACAAUCAAAUCUCGGGCAAGUAAUAUACCGAUGACAAAGGGAAUAACGUAUGUUGUCAUUACGGUACGACCAAUAAAGAUCUUCGUAGAAUUUGUGGGAACCAAUAUGAGCAUCCAGGUUCCGCUGUUGGUUAUUGACCAAAGAGGUGUCUCGGUCAUGUCCACAUAGUUCUCGAACCCAUAGGGUCCGCACGCUUAACGUUCAAUGACGAUUUUGUAUUAUAUGAGUUAUGUGAUUUGGUGACUGAAUGUUGUUAGGAGUCCUGGAUGAUAUCACAAACAUGACGAGGAGUCUCGAAAUGGUCGAGAGGUAAAGUAUCAUAUAUAGGACGAUGAUAUUCGAACACCGGAAGUGUUUCGGGGCAUACCCGGUACAUAUCGGAGUACCGAGGGGGUUACCGGAACCCCCUCCCCCUCUUCGGGGGGGGGGGGCAAUAAUGGGCCUUAUGGCCCAUAGGAGGUAAGAACACCAGCCCACAAGGGGUGGUGCGCCCCCCCUAAGGAAGGAGGCCGAAUAGGAGAAGGAGGUGGGGGUUCGCCCUCCCCUCCUUCCUCCCCCCUCUCUUCCUUUUUUCCCCUUCCGGUAAAAGGAAGGAGGGGAGGCCGAAUUGGACUAGGGGCCCAACUAGGAUUCCUCCUACUUGGGCACCCCCUUGGCUGCCUCUCCUCCCCUCCAACCUAUAUAUACGUGGGGGGCACCGCUAGAACACACAACAUUGAUUCCUAGCCGUGUGCGGCGCCCCCCUCCACAGUAUACGCCUCCGGUUAUAUUCACGUAGUGCUCAGGCGAAGCCAUGCGCGGAUCACUUCACCAUAAUCAUCACCAUGUCGUCGUGCUGAUGUAGCUCUCCCUCAACACUUUGUUGUAUCAAGAGUUCGAGGGACGUUAUCGAGCUGAACGUGUGCAGAACUCGGAGGCGCCUUAAUUCGAUGCUUGAUCGGUCGGAACGAGAAGAAGUUCGACUACAUCAACCGCGGAAUCAAACGCUUCGCUUUCGGUCUACGAGGGUACGUGGACACACUCUCCCGCUGGACUCAUAUGCAGUCAGUUGGUCAUACAGUUCUGCAAAUUGUUCCACAUACUCCACCACCGAUCCAGUUUUGUUAAUUCUGAACAUCUUCCUCAAGAGAUUCUGGUGCUGGUUCCGCCCAAAUCUCGUCUGCAAUAGGUUGCAAAACUCUGUCCAAUGCAGUUCCACAGUUCGCCUCUGCAUAGACUCCAACCAUCGAGCAGCUGCACCUUCAAACUGGGCAGUGGCAUAAGAUAUCCACCUGCUGUGGUGAGUGCCCCAUAACUUGAAGUAAUCCUUGCAUCUAGCUUGCCAUAAUCGUGGAUUAGACCCAUCAAACCGCGGCAAUUCCACUCGUGGACCAGAGUUGAACUGCUCACCUUGAUCCAGAGCAACGAGUUCGCGGGGUGACUGAAACUCUCGGGGAGACGGCAGAUCACGCGCUCCGCGAGCCGGGGGUGGAACGUAGAUGUUCUGGGUGCGCGCUUCUCUGCCCGCAGACGAGCUUCCCGCCUGGCCUCGUAGUCGACCUUGUCAACCCACUCCAGAUCGGAGCGGAUCUGCUCGAUGUCGAGGUGGAGCUCGGAACGGACGCCGUCAACGCGGGCCGUGAUAAGGCCGUCCAAGGUCUUGGUCGAUUCCUGGAGCAGCUUGGUCAUGGAUUUGAGGAGGUCAUCGCUGUGUACCUUGAGGCGCUGCUCGAGAUCGUCGGUGACGGCCGCCUUGACGAAUUCAUGGAUGUUGCGGCCUUCCGCCAACAGCUUUUCCAUGGCCUCUCGCCGGUGAAAUUCGCGGAAACGGGUGUGGUGUGGGUGGCGGGGCAACUCCAGGAUGGAACGGCUCUGAUGCCAGAUGUGAGCAACCCGCUUAUAGGAUCCGAAUUGGGGAUGGAUUCGCCAUGGAUGGCAGAUACAAGCUCUCACACACACGCACGGUCUGGCCGAAGCCACUAGUUCCGUCCCAGAUCCACACGCCACCCGCACCAACGGUAAUAUACUAGCGUACACCCUUAUCGGGCCCAGUUUGGGCUUGCAAGCCACUGGUGAAGUUGCCGGUCGCGAGUGGGCCGAGCAGUCGGCCCACGAGUUGAAUCCUUGGCCUCGCGCGCUCCCGCUUGCUCUGUUCCGUGCCAAGGUCGCUGACAACAAUCGUACCCCACAACACUAACAAAUGACCCAUUCAUCACGAAUAGAUGGGGCUGGGGGUCUGGCUGACUUGCGGGUCCCGCCGUCCGGCACAACCGUCUCUUGCUCUCGUUGUGUUUUUUCUCGAGCUGGUUCAGUUUCGUCAGUUCCUUCAUCCUUUGCUGCUGCACCUCAUUCAUUUCUGCCUCUGCAGUCUGCACGCUUCGCUAAUGCCUUCUCCCAGCGACUCUGCAUACGGGGUGUAACACAGACAGUUACCUGUCCAGCCAUGGGAGGUUUCCGACGACCAGCCACACAGCACCCCCCCCCCCCUCCGUUGUCGCCGGAGGCUGCUCACGUUUGGAGGGCGUGGUCGGUAUAGUACCGACGCACAUAUCUUGGUGGGCUCAGCAUGCUUUUUUUUCAAGUUCUGUAACAUGCUUUGGACAGAAUUUAGCAACGGCUCGCAUACGACGUCUUUCCUUCAUCCUUCUUCCGCCUGAGUUUCUUUCACUGCUUCUUAUUCAAGUCAAAACAGUUUCUUUCAGAAAAACAAAGCUAAUACUAACAAUCUUUUUUCUAGCAUCACCAUCACUCUUUUCUUGUUGUUCUGCUAUCUGAAGAAACAUAUUCACUGACCCCAGGUUCAGUUCUGGUAAGUACUGGUAUACACAACUUCAGUUCUGCUAACUUAAGGACCAGGUCACAUGCCAUACUACUCUUUCUCUAAUUAAACACAAUGAUGCCAAAUUAACUUGACCAGCACUAGGAGGUCUUGCCUUAACUGACCGUCACUAGGCACAUUUUCUAUUCCAACCAAAAAGUUAGCCAAAUUCUUUCCGGUGCUGCUCCCUGGAUAAGACAUAGAAUCUAAAACAUUGCUAGAAAAUAUAUUUAGGCUGGAGUGUUUUGUAGAAUCACAAAAAAAAUUUGUGAGAAAAACAUAUGCUUCUUUUUUUGCAGAGGGUGUGAAAAGUGUAUAUUAAAUUUUGUCCUAUACCAAAAAAAAUGAUGUACAUACUAUUUUGGUUUAUGUAUUAACCUCUCACUAUAUUUUUGUAACAGCAAACAAAUGAACAUUUUCUAAUAAAAGCAUCACAAUCACUGUUUCCUUGUUGUUUGGUUGCUAUAUUAACCUCUCACUGUUAUUUGCCUCAACUGAUCGUCACCAGUCAAAAGAUCUCCUCAAACAAAAAAAGGUAGUCAAAGCUUGAUUAAGUGGUGCAUUUGUUUCCACUUAAUUUGUUGCCGUGUGUCUUAGGGUCCUUCCUGCCAAAUUAUUAUUCUCUUUUGCUCCCUAGAGAAAACCCACCAGCAAGUUAUAAAAAGCUUCCUAAAAGCUUUAGAUCUACAUUCUGGAAUAUUGUGAAGAAUAUCAAUUUAUUUUGUGUCUUAUACCCCAAAAAAUAUGGUGCUCUUUCAUUAACCUCUCACCAUUAUCUGUGCAGGCAAAUACACAGCUUUUUAUUAAAAGUUUUUAGUGUGCACACAACGUGCAUUUGAAAUAGUAUAAAUUAUGUUUAGAAAUUCCAAAAUGUCCGGUCGCAUCAAGUUGAGAAUUCCCGUUUUUGUACUUUCCACAGCAAUGCGGAACUUGACCGGCAGAGUAAAAGCGUCCGUCAAAACUUGUUGAAGAGAUGGAAACUUCUCCACUAUCAUAUGUACCACGAAGGAUACUACACCCUAUAUAUAUGACAUAUUUACAUAUCUUAAUGUCCAGAUGUCACAAAGAUAUAUCAAAACAAAUUACAACCCACCAUGCUUCAUUUUUUCAUUGUCUUCGUGCUUGCCAUAUCUGUUCCAAUUCGGUGGCGUGCGCUUGUGUAGCAAAUGGCAGCAGCAUCCUGACAGAAGGCCAAGAGCUCAGCGGCGGCAACAGGCUCAUCUCAAAGAAUGGCAAGUUCACGUUGGGCUUCUUCACGUCAGGCCACUGGUAGAAAAAGAGGCUUCCGUCCAGCCCCAUUAGUCGCGAAACUGUAGGAACCGCGACUAAUGAAGUCUUUAGUCGCGGUUCGGCAGACGAACCGCGACCAAAGGCCUGGGCCCAGGGCGCUCGGUGGCCAGCUGGUNNNNNNNNNNNNNNNNNNNNNNNNNNNNNNNNNNNNNNNNNNNNNNNNNNNNNNNNNNNNNNNNNNNNNNNNNNNNNNNNNNNNNNNNNNNNNNNNNNNNNNNNNNNNNNNNNNNNNNNNNNNNNNNNNNNNNNNNNNNNACAAGCAGAAGGGUUUUGUUAUCUGUCCAUGUGUUGACUGUAAGAAUCAGAAGGGUUACUCUUCCUCAAGAGAAGUUCACCUGCACCUGCUUCGGCACGGUUUCAUGCCAAGCUAUAAUUGUUGGACCAAGCAUGGAGAAAGAGGGGUUAUAAUGGAAGAAGAUGAAGAAGGGGAUGAUUUCAUCGAUGAAAGCUAUCUUGCUCAUUUCGGUGAUACUUUCAUGGAGGAUGCUGAAGGUGAAGGGGAAGGUGAAGGGGAAGGUGAAGGUGAAGAAGAGGCACGUGAUGAGACCGUUGAUGAUCUUGGUCGGACCAUUGCUGAUGCACGGAGACGCUGCGAAACUGAAAAGGAGAGGGAGAAUUUGGAUCGCAUGUUAGAGGAUCACAGAAAGUCGUUGUACCCCGGAUGCGAUGAUGGUCUGAAAAAGCUGGGCUGCACACUGGAUUUGCUGAAAUGGAAGGCAAAGGCAGGUGUAGCUGACUCGGCAUUUGAAAACUUGUUGAAAAUGUUGAAGAAUAUGUUUCCAAAGAAUAACGAGUUGCCCGCCAGUACGUAUGAAGCAAAGAAGGUUGUCUGCCCUCUAGGUUUAGAGGUUCUGAAGAUACAUGCAUGCAUCAACGACUGCAUCCUCUACCGCGGUGAAUACGAGAAUUUGAAUGAAUGCCCGGUAUGCACUGCAUUGCGUUAUAAGAUCAGAGGCGAUGACCCUGGUGACGAUGUUGAGGGCGAGAAACCCAGGAAGAGGGUUCCCGCCAAGGUGAUGUGGUAUGCUCCUAUAAUACCACGGUUGAAACGUCUGUUCAGGAACAAAGAGCAUGCCAAGUUGUUGCGAUGGCACAAAGAGGACCGUAAGUCGGACGGGGAGUUGAGACACACCGCAGAUGGAACGCAAUGGAGAAAGAUCGACAGAGAGUUCAAAGAUUUUGCAGCUGACGCAAGGAACAUAAGAUUUGGUCUAAGUACAGAUGGCAUGAAUCCUUUUGGCGAGCAGAGCUCCAGCCAUAGCACCUGGCCCGUGACUCUAUGCAUCUACAACCUUCCUCCUUGGUUGUGCAUGAAGCGGAAGUUCAUUAUGAUGCCAGUGCUCAUCCAAGGUCCGAAGCAACCCGGCAACGACAUCGAUCUGUACCUAAGGCCAUUAGUUGAAGAACUUUUACAGCUCUGGGGCAGACCUGGUGUCCGUGUAUGGGAUGAGCACAAAAAAGAGGAAUUUAACCUACGAGCGUUGCUUUUCGUAACCAUCAACGAUUGGCCUGCUCUUAGCAACCUUUCGGGACUGUCAAAUAAGGGAUACAAUGCAUGCACGCACUGCUUACAUGAGACUGAAAGUGUACAUUUGCCAAAUUGUAAGAAGAACGUGUACCUUGGGCAUCGUCGAUUUCUUCCGAAAAUUUAUCCAGUAAGAAAGAAAGGCAAGCAUUACAACGGCAAGGCAGAUCACCGGCCGAAGCCUGCGGAACACACUGGUGCUGAGGUAUUUGAUAUGGUCAAGGAUUUGAAAGUCAUCUUUGGAAAGGGUCCUGGCGGACAAUCAGUUCCGAAGGGAGCUGACGGGCACGCAGCCAUGUGGAAGAAGAAAUCUAUAUUCUGGGAGCUAGAAUAUUGGAAAGUCCUAGAAGUCCGCUCUGCAAUCGACGUGAUGCACGUUACAAAGAAUAUUUGCGUGAACCUCCUAAGCUUCUUGGGCGUGUAUGGGAAGACAAAUGAUACAAAGGAAGCACGGCAGGACCAGCAACGUUUGAAAGACCCUGAUGACCGGCAUCCGGAAUGGUUUCAAGGUCGUGCCAGCUACGCUCUGACCAAAGAAGAGAAGGUCAUCUUUUUUGAAUGCCUGAGCAGUAUGAAGGUCCCGUCUGGAUUCUCGUCCAAUAUAAAGGGAAUAAUAAACAUGGCAGAGAAAAAGUUCUAAAACCUGAAGUCUCACGACUGCCACGUGAUUAUGACGCAAUUGCUUCCGAUUGCUUUGAGGGGGCUCCUGCCGGAAAAUGUUCGAGUAGCCAUUGUGAAGCUAUGUGCAUUCCUCAAUGCAAUCUCUUAGAAGGUAAUCAAUCCAGAAGAUCUACCACGGUUACAGAACGAUGUGAUCCAAUGUCUUGUCAGUUUCGAGUUGGUGUUCCCGCCAUCCUUCUUCAAUAUUAUAACGCACCUCUUGGUUCACCUAGUCGAAGAGAUUUUCAUUCUCGGUCCUGUAUUUCUACACAAUAUGUUCCCCUUCGAGAGGUUCAUGGGAGUAUUAAAGAAAUAUGUUCGUAACCGUGCUAGGCCAGAAGGAAGCAUCGCCAAGGGCUAUGGAAAUGAGGAGGUAAUUGAGUUUUGUGUUGACUUUGUUCCUGACCUUAAGCCGAUUGGUCUUCCUCGAUCGCGGCACGAGGGGAGACUAAGUGGAAAAGGCACGAUCGAAAGGAAAUCAACGAUAUGUAUGGACGGCCAUUCUCUGACUGAAGCACACCACACUGUACUGACCAAUUCCAGCUUGGUGGCUCCGUACUUUGAGAAACACAAGAAUAUUUUACGCUUGGACAACCCGGGGAAGCCUGAAUCCUGGAUUAGGAAGGCCCACAUGGAGACUUUCGGCAGUUGGUUGAGAAAACAUUUAAUGAAUGAUAAUGAUGUUGUAGAUCAGCUGUACAUGUUGGCCAAGACACCAUCUUCAACUAUAACGACUUUCCAAGGGUACGAGAUAAAUGGGAAUACAUUUUACACGAUCAUCCAAGAUAAAAAGAGCACCAACCAAAACAGUGGUGUCCGCUUUGGUGCAGCAACCGAGAAUGGGCAAAAGGUCACAUAUUAUGGUUACAUAGAGGAGAUAUGGGAACUUGACUAUGGACCCUCCUUUAAGGUCCCUUUGUUCCGGUGCAAAUGGUUCAAGCUAACAGGAGGUGGGGUAAAGGUGGACCAGCAAUACGGAAUGACAAUGGUGGAUUUCAACAAUCUUGGUUACCUUGACGAACCAUUCGUCCUAGCGAAAGAUGUCGCUCAGGUUUUCUAUGUGAAGGACAUGAGUAGCAAACUGAGGAAACGGAAAGAUAAGAAAACGAUCAGUACAUCAUGCGAUGAUCCAAAGCGCCACAUUGUUCUUUCAGGGAAAAGAAACAUCGUGGGAGUGGAGGACAAGACAGACAUGUCAGAAGAUUAUAAUAUGUUUGCUGAAAUUCCGCCCUUCAAAGUGAACACCGACCCAAGCAUUAAGUUAAAUGAUGAGGAUGCUCCAUGGAUACGGCACAAUCGUAAGCAAGCAGGGACACAAGGNNNNNNNNNNNNNNNNNNNNNNNNNNNNNNNNNNNNNNNNNNNNNNNNNNNNNNNNNNNNNNNNNNNNNNNNNNNNNNNNNNNNNNNNNNNNNNNNNNNNNNNNNNNNNNNNNNNNNNNNNNNNNNNNNNNNNNNNNNNNNNNNNNNNNNNNNNNNNNNNNNNNNNNNNNNNNNNNNNNNNNNNNNNNNNNNNNNNNNNNNNNNNNNNNNNNNNNNNNNNNNNNNNNNNNNNNNNNNNNNNNNNNNNNNNNNNNNNNNNNNNNNNNNNNNNNNNNNNNNNNNNNNNNNNNNNNNNNNNNNNNNNNNNNNNNNNNNNNNNNNNNNNNNNNNNNNNNNNNNNNNNNNNNNNNNNNNNNNNNNNNNNNNNNNNNNNNNNNNNNNNNNNNNNNNNNNNNNNNNNNNNNNNNNNNNNNNNNNNNNNNNNNNNNNNNNNNNNNNNNNNNNNNNNNNNNNNNNNNNNNNNNNNNNNNNNNNNNNNNNNNNNNNNNNNNNNNNNNNNNNNNNNNNNNNNNNNNNNNNNNNNNNNNNNNNNNNNNNNNNNNNNNNNNNNNNNNNNNNNNNNNNNNNNNNNNNNNNNNNNNNNNNNNNNNNNNNNNNNNNNNNNNNNNNNNNNNNNNNNNNNNNNNNNNNNNNNNNNNNNNNNNNNNNNNNNNNNNNNNNNNNNNNNNNNNNNNNNNNNNNNNNNNNNNNNNNNNNNNNNNNNNNNNNNNNNNNNNNNNNNNNNNNNNNNNNNNNNNNNNNNNNNNNNNNNNNNNNNNNNNNNNNNNNNNNNNNNNNNNNNNNNNNNNNNNNNNNNNNNNNNNNNNNNNNNNNNNNNNNNNNNNNNNNNNNNNNNNNNNNNNNNNNNNNNNNNNNNNNNNNNNNNNNNNNNNNNNNNNNNNNNNNNNNNNNNNNNNNNNNNNNNNNNNNNNNNNNNNNNNNNNNNNNNNNNNNNNNNNNNNNNNNNNNNNNNNNNNNNNNNNNNNNNNNNNNCUCAACGCCGCCGGCCGGCCUCGCUGCCGCGCGCGCACGCGCGCGCCUCUCUACAGAGAGCGAGAUCGUGGAGAGAGAGAUAAUUUUUUUCUUUUUUUUGUUCUUUUUAAUUUUAACUAGUUAAUUAGUUUAACAAAAACGGUAAAAUAACUUAAAACUUGAUAAUUAACAAAAAAAACGUAAAAUUUGAUAAUUAACAAAAAAACGUAUAUACGGAGAGGGGGCGGCGAGGGGGGCGGCGAUGCGCGCGGUGUUUUUUUUAGGGAUCGAGAGGGGGCGGCGAGGGUUAUACAUGUGUGUUGUCGUCGCCUCCCUCUCCGUGACGCCGUCGUCUGCCGCCCCGUCUCGCGCUCUACCGCGACACCCUCUCCCACCCCUUCCUCGCCCCCUCCUUUUGCCACCGCCCUUUCGCCACCGCCACCGCCACCGCCCCCCUUCUUCACUUAAUUAAUUUGUUUUUACUACAUGUUUUCAGGACUGACAUAAUGGCGGACGAUAGAGCUGACCCGAUUAUGGACAACUAUGAUCCGGACGGUGAAGCACAUAUGUUCGGCAUCAUAAACGGCGAUAUUCUAUAUGUGCCGACCGGACAAGAAGAAGAUGAUAUCUCUUCUUAUCUGAACCUUGACGGUGAAGAUGAAGGGCGCCGUCAGCAAGAUGAUGCCGAACAAACGUCGAUAAAUGACGAUCUUCAAAUGGAAGUAGCAACCACCUCCGGCGCCGAGGUAUAUAUAUACAUUGAGCCUCUGGUGAUACAGACUAACUGAUUUGAAUAAAUAUGUGUGUACUAACGUGCGCGACUCUCUUUCUUAUUUUAGCCCUCGGCCGGAUCGUCGAAACAAUCGAGUACGUCGUCAAAGCGUGGCGCAACCAAGACGAUGAAACAAGGAGAAACAUGCACCAUCGAGGUUGUCGACAGUGCAACCGGCAGGCCACUGGAGCCCCGCAAGAACGCCACCAAGUUUGUCAACCAAUGCGGAGCCAUUGUUAGAGACAACGUCUCGAUCACCGUCCAGGAGUGGAAUAAGCCAAAGAAGGCACGAAUUGCUGGUUUCACUUUUGUCGAUAAGAGAACAAAAAAAGAUUGCUUCAAGAAGCUUAUGGAACAUUUCGUUCUACCUCCGGAAUACAACAAAUUCGAUGAGGAGGGUAACAAGAUUGAGGAAAACAAGGAGAGGAGGAGGCUAGUCAAACAGUUCGCUCUUCAUAAGAUGGCCAACGCAUUCCGGAAAUUCAAGCAAAAUCUAGCCCAUGACUUUGUCAAGCAGAACAAGACUCCGGAUUUCAAAGGACAAUAUGAGAAACUGAAACAUGAUUGGCCAGAAUUUGUGAAGCAAAAGAAAUCGGAGCAGUUCAUUCAAAUAUCGAAAGAAAUAAGGAAAAUGCGGCUAAGAAGGAGUACAAUCAUAUUAUGGGGCCAGGAGGGUAUCGCCUUUGGGAGCCUAGGUGGGAGAAGAUGGAGAAUGAGCUGAGGGCGCGAGGAAUCGGUCCAGGUACGGAGGGAUGGGACCCAAGGGCCAAAAGCUGGUGGUACGGGCAUGGGGGAACGCUGAACCCGGAGACAGGGGAGUGUGUUUACCGGGGCAAAAUAAUUAAACCCACCCAAGCCCUUAUUGACGCAAUGAGGGAUGCUCAAGAGGGGAAGAUCAAGUUUAACAGAGAGAACGACGCGCUGACAAAAGCCCUCGGGAAUCCUGAACACGGAGGACGUGUACGAGGCAUGGGGCACAUUCCGUGGAAAAUAGGGUUCCCCCAGAACGAUGACCCGUACGGUUAUAGAAGCCGGAAGAGAAAGAUGGAUCGGGAAGCAGAUGUUGUGGCGCGGUUGGCAUCGGAAAUGGAUGUGAUGAAGAAAACCGUGAGUGUACUAGUAGCCGAAAGAGAUGCAGCUCGGGCGCAGCAUGAAGAUCAUCCAGCGGAUCUCAGAAGCCAGCGGCGGAGAAGCAGUGUGGCUUCCACGGAGGCCCCACCGGCUGGUGCAGAUGCACCGACGAUCGAAAUUACUGCACCGGAGCCUCUGGUGGCCGAAAUUACUGCACCGGAGCCUCUGGUGGUCGAAAUUACUGCACCGGAGCCUCCUCGCUACCCCGUGGACGAUAUAAAGGAGAUGAAAGAAUGUCAUCUGUAUUAUCCUAUCGGGAACAUGUCCAUGAAGGUAGCCAUCGGCAGUGCUUUACCAUGUUUACCUGGAGCACUCCACCACAACAACCCCAUUCAAGAUGGCUAUGCUCGUGUCACGGUGGAGGACAUAGUCCAAGGGUUUGAGGACCUGGAGAUUGACAUUGCUACACCUGAAGGGGAGAAAAGACUUGGAGAUGUCAAGCGCCAUUUCAUUCUAUGGCAAAAGAAGUUUAUCAAGUUUCUAGGCGAGGCGCCAAGGACAACAAGUCCACCCCCCUACGGUGGUGGCGGUUCACCUACACCUCCGUCACGUCAGCCGACACCCCCCAGUCCACAACGUCCGGCGGGUGAUCAGACGCCGCCCCCCAGUCCUCGUCCGGCGGGUGAUCAGACGCCGCCCCCCAAUCCACCUCCGGCAAAGAAGCAGAAGCAGUCCUGGAUUAUUAACCCGGACCCUUAUGUACCUAAGACCACAAAGGUACCGGAGCCAUCACUGAAGCCUCUCCCCACAAGGCCUUGGGAACGUAGUGCCGAGGAAACUGCCGCGGCCGCGACUGCUGAUCAUGAGAAAUGGAAGGCGGACUGCAAGAAGAAAAGAGAGCCCGAGCCCAAGCCAGUAUUUUCUGAUGAGCAAAAGAAGUGGGCUAAGUCAUUUUUGAGCACACCGUCCCAAGCCGCGAAGAAUCUGCCUGACGACUAUGCACGUGAACUUCGUAGGCAGGCACUCAUGUUGAAGGAGAAGAAAGAGCGGGCGGAGAACCAGGAGAACAAAGCCUUGGAGGAGGCCGAGAAAACGGAAUUAGAAAGUAAAAAAAGCGGGAAACGAGUUGCCCAGCUCGGGGAACAAAGUAAACAAUCGAUUGCCCCGCUUAUAGUGAAAGCCGCCGGUCCGGAUGACCCCGAUAUCAUAGCAGCUGCGGCAGCACAUGGAUUGACUGUAACGAGUGCUAGAGAACAAGCGGCCAACUUAGGUAUUACUCUUCGUGAACUGUUAGGCCUUGAUGAGGCGCCAGUGAAGGAGGUAGUAAUUACAUAUGUGAAGAAUGGGCCUCUCGUCGAGCCUGCGCAGGAAGAGGAUCUACCUCCACAAAUGAAAGGUCUGCUGAAAUGGUACAAGGGUUACAUAAAAAAUAAAAACGCCAAAGAAUAUAUUUAUGCGGAAGUUAGAUAUGAGCAUCACUUCAAACAUUACUAUGUACAAAUUCAUCUGAGUGAAUUGUUCCAGCUUUUCAAUCUGCGCGAGCUCGACAAAUCUAUCAUCAGUUGCUACGUUCUGUAAGUGAUUUAUUUCUACCCCAUCUCGUUCAUAUUGCCUGCACUAUAUAUAUGUCCUAACUAUAUUGUUGUGUCCGCUAUUAUACAUGCAGAUUGAAGAUUAAGGAAUGCAGAGUAAGGAACAUCCAUGAUGUUGGGUUCAUUGACCCACACAUCGUUAAUGGAUAUGUGUUGGAGCAUCACCCCGCCGACAUGGAGGCAGACCUGUGGCAGUUUCUUACAAAGCAGGAACUCAAAAGUGAUAUUAUAUUUCCUUACCAUUUUGGGUGAGUGUUUCUGUCUUGAGCACAUUCUCUUUUGUUUACUCCAUGCAUGGUAUGUGGCCGGCUAAUCGAUGAGUUAUGCAUGACGUACUGUGCAUGUAUCGUGUCCGCAGGUUCCACUGGAUUCUGCUAGUAAUUAAAGUUGACACCUCAGAAUGUCUCGUGCACGACUCUCUGAAUAAGGAUCCAAAGCUUUGGGGCGACAUGAGAAGAAUGCUGCAGAAGUAAUUAUUUUCAUUCAUUUGCGCUCUAUAUCGAUCGGCCUAUUUCGUUCAUUUCCUAAUAUCAAGUAACUAAUAACUCUCUUGUUCAUUUAAUUUUCUUUGCCUCGUAGGGUUUGGAGACGGUUUGUAGAUACAAAGGUCGGUGAAUUCAAAAAAGAGCUAGAAUUCAAAAGGUCAAAGGCUAAGAAUGGUGAGGAUAUUCAGCCAGCGGGGACCAAUCUAUGUGCAUACUAUGUCUGUGAGAUGAUCCGGAGAUACACCUCUGAGCGGGUUCCGAGUGAUACCAAUGCUCAGAGGAAUAACCUCCGGAUGAUGCUUAGUCCAGAAGCUCGCUUCCGACCACUUCAAGAGGAACUAGCUGGAUGGUUCAGGAGGGAAAUCCUCCAUCCUAAAGGAGAACACCAUUACGAGGACGUAGAACUUUAUAUGCAUUAAAUUAUGUAUGGAAACUUGUUCAAAAUUGUAUAUGGUCAUCCGAUGAUAUUGAAUAUAUAUUGUAUAUUCCUCUUGAAUUCUUUUUGGUUCUAAUUUCAAAUUUGUUUGAAAUUUUACAUUCAUAUGCAUGUAUGUAGUACCGUAGAAUAUGUGAAACUCCUUCAAAAUUAAAAUAAAGCACAAAAGAAAUAAAACAAUACAAAUUAAACAGAAAACAGGUUUAGGGGGGGGGGGGCUAAAACCCUAAACCUGCGGCGGCCUUUAGUCGCGGUUGGCCAGAAGAACCGCGACUAAAGGUCCUCCGCCCCGACGGCCGCCUGGCGCCCACGUGGACGGGCCUUUAGUCGCGGUUCUUAAGCAACCGCGACUAAAGGUGGGGGCUUUAGUCGCGCCUAUUUGGUCGCGGUUGCGCAACCGCGACUAAUGGCAGUUGCGAACCGCGACCAAAGGCCCUUUUUCCACUAGUGGGCAGCAGUAAGUCUUCCUCAGACAACACCACCUUCCCCAACUGGUAUGUAGGUAUAUGGUUCAACAAGAUCCCAAAGGUCACUCCUGUAUGGAUUGCGAACAGAGAGAAACCAAUCAGUGACCCCAAGUUUAGACUACUCAAGCUCAGAAUCUCAAGGGAUGGCAAUCUUGUCGUCUUAAACCAAGCGAGUAAAUCCAUAAUCUGGUCCAGUCAAAUAAUAACAGCCAAAGGUAGAAGAACAGCUAGCAAAAAUACUACCAUCAUGGCGGCGCUCUCAGACGAUGGUAACCUUGUCAUAAGAGACGACUCGAACCCAUCCAUCGUGUGGUGGCAGAGCUUUGAUCACCCAACAAAUGUUUUCCUGCCCGGUGCAAGGAUUGGCCGGAACAAGGUUGCUGGCCAAAAAUAUAGUCUUGUUUCGAAGAAGAAUCUGAUAGAUCCAGCUCCAGGCCUAUACUGCAUGGAGCUAGACCCCACUGGUGAUCCGCAAUACUUUGUUAAGCUCUGUAAUUCAUCCAUGGUGUAUUUCUCCAUGGGGGAAUGGACCGGGUGCGGGUGGUACUUCAAUUUGGUACCGGAGAUGUCAGGCAGUCACUUUCUCCACACCAAAUUCAUCGACAAUGAUGAAGAGGAGUACUUCACUUAUGCCCCGAUGGAUCCAACAAUGAUAACAAUCUGCUUCCUUGAUGUCUCCGGUCUUACCAAGCAACUUCUUUGGCUUGAAAUCUUGCAAGAUUGGGAAACCAUACAUGUCCAACCAAGGGCUCCAUGUGAUGUUUUCGCCGUUUGUGGGCCUUCCACGGUCUGCAAUGACAACGCACUUACAUUGUGUAACUGCAUGAAUGGGUUCUCUGUGAAGUCACCAGAGGAUUGGGUGCUAGAUGAUAGAGGAGGUGGAUGCAUGAGAAAUACUCCACUAGAACGUUGCAACAGCAACAAAAGUAACACAACAGGAUUAACUGACCAGUUCUUUCCCAUACAUAGUGUUAGAUUACCAUAUUAUGCACAUAGCAUGGAAACAAUUGAGAGUGGACAAGAGUGCAUGCAGGUUUGUCUAAGAAAUUGCUCAUGCACUGCCUACUCCUAUGGCAAGAGUGGCUGUUCUAUCUGGCAUGGCCAACUUAUUAAUGUAAAGCAGUACAAUAAUGGCACAGUCAAUAGUGACAAAGAGAUUCUUUUCCUUCGUCUUGCUGCUGGAGAUGUGCAAAGUUGGGGAAACAACACGAAAGGAAAUAGAAGAAUGAUCAUAGGUCUCACUGUGUGUGCUUUCGGUUUGUUGGUGAUGCUAUUGAUGAUUUGGAGGGGGGAAAGGAAGUGGUGUUCUCAUCCCUUAAGCAACACUGAAGGUGGAUGUGGAGUUAUAGCAUUUAAGUAUGUUGAUUUGCAGCAGACAACUAAAAAUUUCUCAGAGAAGCUUGGUGUAGGUGGUUUUGGCUCUGUAUUUAAGGGAAUUCUGCGUGACUCGACUACCAUAGCGGUGAAGAUGCUUGAUGGUGCACGCCAAGGAGAAAAACAGUUCAGGGCUGAGGUUAGCACAAUUGGAAUGAUCCAACAUGUCAACUUAGUAAAACUGAUUGGUUUUUGCUGUGAAGGUGAUAGAAGGAUGCUUGUUUAUGAACACAUGGCAAAUCGUUCUCUUGAUGUCCAUAUAUUCCAAGCCAAUGGUUCUAUGCUAGAUUGGAGUACAAGGUUCCGAAUUGCCAUUGGUGUUGCUAAAGGAUUGUCCUCCUUGCAUGAGAGUUGUCAUGACUGCAUAAUACAUUGCGAUAUUAAGCCAGAAAACAUACUUCUCGAUGCGGCACUUGUUCCUAGAAUUGCAGAUUUGGGAUGGCAAAACUUAUGGGAAGGAACUUUAGUCGAGUUCUGACUACCAUGAGAGGAACCAUAGGAUACCUUGCGCCUGAAUGGAUUAGUGGAGUGGCUAUUACACAAAAGGUUGAUGUUUACAGCUAUGGAAUGGUACUGCUAGAAAUCAUGUCUGGAAGGAGGAACUCAUCACCUCAAGAAUGUACAGGAAAUAUUGAUCAUGAUGUUCAUUUUCCUGUGCAAGCUGCAGUUAAGCUUCUUGAGGGAGAUGUGAGGACUUUGGUCGAUCAACAAUUAUAUGGUGACAUCAACGUGGAGGAGGUUGAAAGAGCUUGCAAAGCUGCAUGUUGGUGCAUUCAAGAUCAUGACUUUGAUCGUCCUACAAUGGGCGAUGUGGUUCAAGUUCUCGAGGGUCUAGUCAAGCUUGAUAUGCCCCCAGUGCCAAGAUUGCUUCAAGCUAUAUCAGGAAGCUCUUCAACAAAUUAAAUAUAAUCCAUGUAAGGAAAAGUUCAAAUUUCAGCAGGGUUCUAAUAACUGAGCUGAGAAGUUACCCUUCAUACACACUUUUCCAUAGUGAUUGAUACUACUAAAAACAUGUCUUGAAUUUUAGUCUCUAUUAUAUAUUGUACAAACUAGCAGGGCAGCUAGUGUAUCUGUGGUUCUAGUUUGUCAUGUAUCGCCAUUUGUAUCGACAUGUCAAAUGUUUGUUUCCCCCAUAAAUAUCAGUUGACUUAUUGUUAUACAAAAGUUUGUAGCCAAAACACAUUUCCGUGACGGGUAUUCUUCACUGCACCUUAAUUUCUUUAAAUAGUUGCUAUUUUCAUCCUUGCCCAACACAUGGUUUGUUUUUUCUGCCCCUGUUUUAUCCUUUGGAAACAUUGUAAAGCUGAAUCUGUGGUCUAUAUGCCGAGCUGUACCGAGGAUUCAUAUAGAGGAGAGGUACGUCCACAAAACAUGCGCAAUCCUUGCAGCACAGCUAAACAAAACUAUGAACCAGUAUAUAAUAUGAAAAUACAUUGUAUUUUAUCCAUCUAAUGAUAUAGUGAUUUGGUUUAGGUUUCCUAUAUAGUACUCCGUCCCAUAAUGUAAGACGCUUUUUCACACUAGUGUAGUGUCAAAAAACGUCUUACAUUAUGGGACGGAGUGAGUAUAAAUUUAGCCAAACUUUGCACCAUUUGACUACAGAUAAAAUCUUCGAGCCUUGUUUUGGAGACGGAAAGCUCUCGGUAGGUUGGGACCCAAACCUGUCAGACUCGUGAUUGAUUUGAGUUGAAUGCAUGACAGUAACCACCGACGUCCUCUUAAUUGCAUGUAUAAAUUUUGACCGACCAACCUAGCUACUUCACAUGGAGCAGCUGUCUGCAGCAGAGAUUAAAGGCGGUCAUCACUCAUCACACCAAGAUCAGAACUUGGGAAGCUGUGGGUAGGCUGGGCAUGGAUGCAUCCAUGGCGCCAACGGAGGGUGACGAGCAACCCCCGUUGCGCAUGCUCUUCUUCCGGUUCCUCCUCCCCGGCCACCUCAUCCCGAUGGCCGACAUGGCCGCGCUCUUCGCCGCCCGUGGCGUUAGGUGCACCAUCCUCACCACACCCUUGCAAGCUUCGACCAUCCGCUCCAUCGUCGACCGUGCCAACACUUCCCUGGGGUCAGUGGAUGUUGUCGUCGUUCCUUUCCCCGACGUCGGGCUUCCCCCCAGCGCCGAGAGCGGGACUGGCCUAACAUCCAAGGACUACAACGACAGGUUCCUUCGGACGGCGGAGCUGCUCCAGGAGCCCUUCCGCCGCUUCCUGUCCAGCCACCACGCCGAGAUCGACGCCGUCGUCUCCGACGGCCUCUUCCACUGGUCCGUGGAUGACGCCGCAGAGCAUGGAAUCCCACGCAUCACGUUCCUCGGCACCAGCAUGUUCGCCCGUUCCUGCACCGAAGCCAUGCUCCGCAGCAACCCGUUCGAGGUGUGCUCCGACGACCCAGCCACCGUUAUCUCUCUGCCGGGGCUGCCGCACCGGGUGGUGGAGCUGCGGGGGCAGAUGAUGGACCCUGUGAAGCGGCCACAUGAGUGGGCAUUGUUCCAGCUAAUCCACGCCGCGGACCGGCGGAGCUACGGAGAGCUCUUCAACAGCUUCCACGAGCUGGAGCCGGCCUACGCCGAGCACUACCGCGCCACCCUCCACCGCCGAGCUUGGCUUGUCGGCCCGGUUGCGCUCGCAAGCGGCAGCGGGAAGGACGUGACGUCAAGAGGUGCCGUUGCGGGCGCGCUCUCACCGGAGUCCAUCGGGUGCCUGCGGUGGCUCGACGAGAAGCCGGCCAGCUCAGUGUUGUACGUCUCCUUCGGCACUAUGACAAUCUUCUCGCCGGAGCAGAUGCGGGAGCUCGCCCGCGGCCUUGACCUCUCGGGCAAAAACUUCCUGUGGGUCAUCGCCAAUGGCAGUGCAUCAACAGAUCUGUGUAUGCCAGACGGGUUCCCGAUGGCGCACCGCGGGUACAUCGUCCGGGGCUGGGCGCCGCAGGUGCUCAUCUUGAACCACCCCGCCGUGGGUGGUUACAUGACGCACUGCGGGUGGAACUCCACGCUCGAGGCUGUGAGCGCCGGCGUGCCGAUGGUGACGUGGCCGCGGUACGCCGACCAGUUUCACAACGAGAAGCUCGUCGCGGAGGUGCUUGAGGUGGGCGUCGGCGUCGGUGCGGAGGACUACGCAACAUGGAUGGAGACCCACCGACUUAUCGGCAGCGAGGUGAUCGCCGAAUCCAUCAGGAAAGUGAUGAAAAAGGAGACGAUGUGGAAGAAGGCUGAGGAGCUCGGCGCCAAGGCGAGGGCCGCCGUGGAGAAGGGCGGGUCGUCCUACGAUGAUGUAGGGCAGCUCAUGGAAGAGUUGAUGGCCCGCCGGUGCUCUGGACGUACGGCUCGUGGACAAUUGUGAUCCGGCCUCCGCCGUGUGCUUCCCUUUUGCACUGUACCGUGUACCUUUGUCCACCACAUUUUAUUAGUAAUAAAAUAAAUAAAUUCAUUUCAUGUUCUUCUGAAACUGCUGGCUUCACUUUAUAGAUAAAUCAUUUUGUAUAGUUGGGCAGGAGCUUUGCUACACUUGUAAAUUAAGCUAAGAAACGGCGGCCGACGGCGACGGCGAGGACUCAUUCUACGUGCAGCGGGCGGCGGUGUAGAGGGAUGCGUAUGUGGCAGAUGUGCUGCGCGGUGGGCCGGCGUCGCCCGGGGUAUGAGCUGCACGGUAGCCUGUGAUCUUGUCAGGGUCUUCCCUCUGGAUCAAGUGGUCGAUCAGCGGCUUCAAGUCGCAGGCUCGCAGCUUCUCGUGCGGUGUCUCCUCCUCUGGCUGACGGUGUAGGGACUCCAGAUCGUGGCUGAAAGGCAUCUCAUUUGCAUGUAUCAAGCACGUACGAAGGUACUUGAUCCUGAAGUGCGGUGACUCCUUGCUACAAUUGGCGCCAUGGCUCGCGUACGGAUGCAUUGUCAUCUACGAUUACAUCUUACACGGGCAUGGUUACAAGACCUCGCGAUCCCAUGAAGGUUCGUGGCCGGCAACCAUGGAUCUGGUGGUGACCACCCGCGGCGCUAUGAUCCACGGCUUGGUGGUGGUGAUUCAGAUUCGGUCGACCGAGUGAGGAUGACUGCACACUGUGCUGCAGCGACCUUCUACGUCUCCACAACAGCGAUGGCCAUUCUUCGGUCCAUCUCAGGAUCCAGUGGUUGACUUCGGCAGUCGGAUGCAAAUUAUGAGCGACCACUUGACGCAAAGGAAUGGUUGUGCAGUGGCGGCGGUCACAUCGCAUGUAACUGCUUGGAUCGUGGAAAAGUGGCGGCGACAACACUUGCAUGACUUCGAUGGUGGUGCUACUCGAGCACCCGGUCGCGAGGUCCGGGGUGAAAGCCUAGGUCUGAACCGAACUGGUUAUGUCUGGCAAUGGCGAUUUUUUUACGUCGUUACCUUGUUGAAGGCAUGGUCUGGAUAUGCUCUGACUGAUUCUUCAAGGUGAAAACAUAGAUUCUGCCCUUGGUGGUUGAAUCCGGUAACGGCGACGCUUGAGUGUCGCUCUCUUCUUGAAGGCGUUGCUGUUGAUGAACCUCGUUGUCUGUGUGGUGUCAUUAGAUAAUUGGUGCGGAUAUGGUGUUUACUGUAGUUUGUCGAUCGUGGCUCUGAUCACUUUGGGUUUUUCUUUUUUCCUCGGCUACGUAUAGCUUUGGUCUUAUAUGACUUUGCUAUUUGCUGCUGUGUUUUUUGUGUGUGUGCGUUUGUGUUGGCUGUGUGCAUCUUAGCUAUGCAGAGGCUAGUUGUGUGCUCUUUUGGUUUGUAUCUUCUUGAUGCUUCUUUAUGAGCUAAUAAAAUCCACCCUUUAUUGAAAAAAAAAUUAAGCUAGGAAACGUAAUUACGUACGUGAUGAUGUGGUCUCAUUUGAUUGGAUAUUAGUACAAGGCAGGGGCCCACCCCUGAAAUUCAGGACGGCCAUUUAGUUACUUUGGGAAGGCUAUGUUCCGUUGAUUUUGGUCCGAAAAUCCUAGACACACGGACAAUCACGGGCGAAUAUUUCACACUAAUUAACCUUCGCCCCCUCUGAUUUGCAUGGGACGACCCCGUUUCCCCCUUAAUCUCCAAUUAAACCAUGCCAGCUAAUCAGGUUCCGUUGAUUCCGUAGUCAUCCGCCCGUGUGUGUAGCAUUGCCAUUUUUCGUCGAUGUAGCAUUUUUGGUGGGCAAUCUACCUCUCCUAACAGUGGGCCUCCUCUAAACUGGGAUCUAUACGUAUUCGACAAUCAAAAACAAUAAGAGUGGCGCAAAGGGCCAACGCUCGGGUUAGCCACGUCAUCGAGCCGCACUGUUCUGUCCAAUCUUCGUGCCGUGCCUGGCCAAUCCUGUCGUAGGAUCAGGCCUCCUAUCCAAGAAAUAUUUUUCCUUUGUUUUUCCCACACGCAACCUCCUCUCCCCACUCCUCAUCGAGGGUUGCUGCCGCCACGGCCGCCACCGCUGCCCCCAUCGCUGCUCCUGCUCUGGCCACCGAAGGAAGGCUGGCUUCUCGGGCGGAUCUUCUCCUCUUGGUGAUUUCCUUGUAGAAAGUUGCGGCGUGGCUCGAGGUCUCGUCCCGAGAAAGCCAGCCUUCCCACGGUCCCGCAUCAAGGCGGGCGACGCUGAUGGAGUCAUGUACCUAGGGUAGGGUCACAGACCUGAUCUAAGUACCCUGCCCAAGGACACCCUUAGAAGAGGUCACCUUCCAGUCGACCAACGAGGGACUCACUCGACUGACUUGAAGGACUCGACCACGAAGACUCACUCGACUACCAGGAGGUCAAAAGGCACUCUGCACUGCAACGGCCUGUAGUUAAGUAGACUUUAUGAUAGUUAAGACACUUUAUGUGGGACGUUACCAGUAACGCCCCGGACUAAAUACACCUUAAACCCUUCAUUACGUGGGCUGGCUGGGGUCCUGGCGCACUCUAUAUAAGCCACCCCCCUCCACAGGCAGAAGGGUUCGGCAUCCUGUAAUUCAUAUACACAUAAUCCACUCGACCGCCUCCGGGCUCCGAGACGUAGGGCUUUUACUUCCUCCGAGAAGGGCCUGAACUCGUACAUCUCUUGUGUUACAACCUCUCCAUAGCUAGGACCUUGCCUCUCCAUACCUACCCCCCACUCUACUGUCAGACUUAGAACCACAACAGUUGGCGCCCACCGUGGGGCAGGUGUUUUAGCGAUUUUGUGGAGAAGUUGCGGUUCUUCCGAGUACUUUUAUCAUGAUGACUGCUGGAGUUUUAGUUGAGGGUCGAGAGAUCCGUCUCGGUGCUCUCACCUUCGUCGCCGACGACUCCGCCUGGCUCCAGGAGGCUCCACUCGACGUCGAUGCGCUCCCCGUCCGCGGUGCGACGCAUUUUCGCGCAUGUGUCCGUGACGUUCUGCUGCGGCAACCGUCGACUCCGUAUCGGUCGACUCCCCCAUCGACCACCCUCCCGGUCUCCCGCCAGCGCAAGCGCUCGGGCCGGUCGAGGCUUCAGCGGUGGGUGAGGCACGCGGUGGCUCGCCAGACGGCCACCACCCAAGUUGCGGCAAUCGAGCCCGACGAAUCUCUCACGGCCUGUUUGAUCUGUCGACUGGCUCCGUAGAGACUGCAUCCGAGUGCGAUAGCAGUGAUCCAGCGGCGGAAAUCCUGAUGGUCGACGGGCUCCGCAGUCCCCCUGGCUUCGCCCGUGAUGGUGGGGCAGGCGACGGAGGCAACCCCGCACGAGACCACGAAGAGUACCAGCCCGAGCCACUCGAUUCUCUGCAAAGAGAGGAACUUUGCCGCAGGAACGUGGAUGUCCUGCGUACUCCCAUCGCAGGAGAAACCCUCGAGGCUCACGCCUUGGAGGAGGCUCGUUUAGCCAAUUUGGCCGAACGCACUCGACUGGAGAAUCUUCAGCGAGCACUCGACGAGCGCGCGCGGCAACGAGUUCCCGACACCAGUCGACGUCAACUCUUCCCGCCGACUUAGGUAUAUCGAACCCCAAUCCAGAAUUUAGCAGCUGCGACCCGUAUAGCAGAGUCCAUCCAGCCCUCUCAGUCGGAAGCUGGCAGAGGCUUGAUGCAGAUCAGGGAUUUGCUCCGGGCAGCAGGAGAUCAGAAUUCGGUCGUGUCGCAGUCGCGCAACAGAAUUCACAGUCGAUCUGUCGCUGCGAAUACGGUUCAGUCGGCUCACAGCCCCAGAUCGCCUCCGCGGCGUGAAGGGCGCGAGAAUCGGCGAGACCAAUAUGGUGACUGACUCGACCGAGAUGAUAGGCGUCGAGUGCCCAAUUCCCCUCUGAGGGGUGGGUCUUACGCUCCUCGGCAGCAAGAUGACAGACGUCAGCUCAGUGCGGGGCGAAGAGUUCCAGUCGACCCCAGAGAACCAGGCUUUGAUGCGCGAUGGGUUUCCCGCAGAGUUCUAUCAAUGUUUUUGGGACGUCAUUAAGGCAGACUUGGUUCAGUUGUUUAACCAACUGCAUACUGAAGACCUUGACAUUUCUCGCUUAAACUUUGGGGAAAUUAUCCUAUUGCCUAAGAUUAAGGAGGCUAGUCGUAUUCAACAAUAUCGUCCGAUUUGCCUUUUGAAUGUAAGUUUUAAAAUCUUUACGAAGGUCGCAACUAAUCGGUUGAACGGGGUGGCUGACCAUGUCGUAAAACCCACUCAAACAGCAUUUAUGCAAGGCCGCAACAUAUUAGAUGGAGUGGUCGUCUUGCAUGAAACUGUACAUGAGCUUCACCAAAAAAAGUUGAAUGGUGUCAUUCUUAAAAUAGAUUUUGAAAAAGCCUACGAUAAGGUUAAGUGGCCCUUUCUGUUGCAAACUUUGCGCAUGAAGGGGUUUUCACAAAAAUGGUGUUGUUGGGUAGAUAGCUUUGUCUCUGGAGGCAGUGUGGCCAUAAAAGUUAAUGAUGACGUUGGCAACUAUUUUGAAACAAGAAAGGGGCUUCGCCAAGGGGGCCCCGCUUCUCCUAUUUUGUUUAACAUUGUGGCCGACAUGCUAGCUACCCUUGUUGAGCGGGCUAAGCUGGACGGUCAAAUUAGUGGUGUCAUUCCACACUUGGUAGAAGAUGACCUAUCUAUUUUACAAUAUGUGGAUGACACUAUUCUAUUCAUGGAUCAUGAUCUAGAUACGAAAAGAAAUCUCAAGUUGCUCUUAUGUGCUUUUGAGGAACUUUCUGGUCUCAAAAUUAAUCUUCAUAAGAGCGAACUUUUUUGCUUUGGCGAUGCUGCAGAAUCAGCACCUGAGUACGCUGAGAUUUUUGGAUGCCAGCUCGGGCAGUUUCCGAUUCGAUAUCUGGGUAUUCCCAUACACUAUCGGCGCUUAAAUAUCGCUGAGUGCAAGUAUGUGGAAGAGAGACUUGAGAAACUCUUAGCCAGUUGGAAGGCCAAGCUCUUGUCUUACAGGGACGAUUGAUCUUGAUCAAUUCAGUUCUAAGCAACAUGGUUUUAUAUAUGUUGUCAUUCUUCCACCUACCGAAGGGGGUUCUCCAGCGACUAGACUACUUUAGAUCUAGAUAUUUUUUGGCAAUGCGAUAACGAAUCCAAGAAAUAUCGACUGGCUAGGUGGAGCGUGUUAUGCAGACCUAAAAGUCAAGGGGGGCUAGGAAUCCAAGACCUUGAGAUUAAAAACAUUGCUCUUCUCAGCAAGUGGGUUUACAAACUACUCACUGAGAAUAGAGUAUGGCAGGAAAUCAUUCGCAACAAGUAUGUGGGAUCCAAUGCCAUUUCUCAAGUUCAUUGGAAACCUGGGGAUUCGCAUUUCUGGAGUGGUGUGAUGAAGGCCAAGGAAUUCUUUCUCCAAUUUGGGACCUUCUCAGUUAGGGACGGUUCUCAGGUUCGAUUCUGGGAAGAUACCUGGCUAGGGAAUAACCCACUAAUGGUGCAAUAUCCGAGCUUGUAUAGGAUUGUUAGGCAUAAAUUCGUCACAAUCAAACAAGUAUUAGGACAAGAAAAUCCUGAUAUUUCUUUCCGCAGGGACCUUUUUGGCCCUCGCCUGACAGCAUGGAAUGAAUUACUCACUCGCUUGGAGGACAUUCAACUGUCAGGUGAGCCGGACAUUUUUCGAUGGAACUUGCAUCAGAAUGGCAAAUUUUCUGUCAAAUCCAUGUAUGAUGCAAUGGUUCAUUGUGAUGUUCCAGUUGAUAACAGGAAAUUGUGGAAGCUCAAAAUCCCUCUAAGAGUGAAGAUUUUCCUCUGGUUUCUUAACAGAGGAGUCAUCCUAACUAGAGACAAUCUGGCACGACGAAGCUGGCAUGGUUCCGAGACAUGUGUCUUUUGCCAACAUGACGAGUCUAUUAAACACUUAUUUUUGGAGUGCAAGUUCGCUCGGGCAGUUUGGACCAUAGUUCAAGUAGCUUCGAAUAUAUACCCAUCACGUAGUGCACGGAACAUGUUCGGCAACUGGUUGCGGGGUAUUGAUAAACAAUUUUAUGCACAUAUUCUUGUGGGAGCGGCGGCCUUAUGCUGGGCACUGUGGCUUACCAGGAACGAUGUGAUUUUUAAUAACAAAUGUGUCUCAUCUCCUAUGUAGGCUAUUCAUGUGUGUACACGAUAGCUCUGUACUUGGUCUAUCCUGCUGAGGCCGGAGAACAGAGAACUUUUUAUGAUGGCGUCUACACGGCUGGAGCGUACGGUCAGGGAGGUUUUCUACCCCCAUGGAUGGCGGUGUGACCUACGGAUAGGAUCUGCCACUCCUUUGGCUGGACAUGUUUUUUUGAUUGGCGUUGUAUCGAAUUAUUUUUUGCUUUUAGGGUACUCUGAACUUUUUUGGCUGUGUGCAUUUAGCUAUGCAGAGGCCGGGCUUUCUUUCGAUGCGAUCGUAUCACCUCGAUAUAUCUAUUCAAUGAAAUGUCCUUUGUCGAAAAAAAGUAAGCUUAGCACCAACAAGUUAGACACCUAUGCUUUGGGGAGUUGAGUUGCUAAGCUAUUUAGUAUCUUAUAUCUAAACACCUUUGCAUUGACUGGUUCAUCAUGUCCAUGGCGACUGGUCAGCUGCCGACCUUGGUCUCCGGUCCAACUACGUGCUGGACUGUUGUACUGUGGCAUUUAUAGCGUAGUGUAGACGGGGUUACUGCAUCGAAGACAAGUCGUGCAAGAAAACAGAAAUUACAACUACAUACGGGAGCUGACGAAUCCAACGUGUGCAUUUUCGGCCUACCAAUAGACAUGUAACCCUCCCAAUAGUCUACUCUCUACCGUGUGCCGCAGUCCCUUGUUCUCUCUCGUGCUUCAAUGAGACGAGAGGCACAACCCCUCAUACGUUGGUGUUCCUCCUGCUUCACUAGAAACACGGGAUUAAACUUGCACACAUGACCCUCGACCAAAAUGCUACUGUAGGGCAACACACACAUACUUAAUUAGUUAUAAUCUUGGACCGAUAUUACUCGGGGCUCUUGUCCAUAGUCACUGUGAGUUGGUAAGCAGAAACCACAUGACUUUGCUAGUUUUUUUUUUUUUUUGAAGCGACCAGCGUGAGCUCUGCUUUUUUCAUCAAGAAGAACAUUGACCGAUUAAUAAGAAAAUUGGCCGAAAAUCGAAUGACUUGGCUAGUUUAGAAUUCCAUGUCUUCUUCAAGCAAGAUGUUUAUACGGAAUCAACUACCUCCAAAUUCCGUCACGUCCAUGGCAUGCCAACCGCGGAAUUCCAUGCACAUGCUUGGCAUUUGAUUUUUCAACCAUUUCGCCGUGUGUAGUCCCUGACCAAUCNNNNNNNNNNNNNNNNNNNNNNNNNNNNNNNNNNNNNNNNNNNNNNNNNNNNNNNNNNNNNNNNNNNNNNNNNNNNNNNNNNNNNNNNNNNNNNNNNNNNNNNNNNNNNNNNNNNNNNNNNNNNNNNNNNNNNNNNNNNNNNNNNNNNNNNNNNNNNNNNNNNNNNNNNNNNNNNNNNNNNNNNNNNNNNNNNNNNNNNNNNNNNNNNNNNNNNNNNNNNNNNNNNNNNNNNNNNNNNNNNNNNNNNNNNNNNNNNNNNNNNNNNNNNNNNNNNNNNNNNNNNNNNNNNNNNNNNNNNNNNNNNNNNNNNNNNNNNNNNNNNNNNNNNNNNNNNNNNNNNNNNNNNNNNNNNNNNNNNNNNNNNNNNNNNNNNNNNNNNNNNNNNNNNNCACACACAAAUACAAAUACAAAUAUGUUGUAACAAAAAAUAAAAUGGAAAUACCUCAAAAUAAAUAGAAAUGAUCUAGUAGCCAUGAAGAAAUCAUCCUUUCAUCAAGCGAAGGCAAUCUUUUCUCUACUUUCUUUCUAUCUCUCACAACUCAACAAAACUCCCACGUGACACCAGUAAGAGAGCGUACGAGAUUGAAAACUACCAGGUAAUUAGUUCACAAGAUAUUUAAAACCUCAAACCACGUGGAGAAUCCACUAUUCAGGUACAUGAGCUAUAGAAACAUUUGUCGCGAAUGAAUAUAUAGUCAGUAGUUUGCACCACAUCAAGGUUAAUUGCAUUUUUCUUCCUUUGUGCAACUGGUCAAUUGUUUUUUUAGGACCAAGACCAGACCAUUAGUUCGGUUUAGUUUUGAAACGGCACUUUGUAGUAGUCAACAAUAUGGUGCAUCAACGACUAUUAAAUGAGACCGGACAAGUAUUCUAUAGACCUCAUGCAAGUCAAGAAACCUCGGUGCAUCUAUAAAACGCCUGUCCUGCCCGACUAGUAGUUCUUCUCAUGCAUCCACCUCCAAACGGUUCAUCCUAUUUCCAAUUUUUUUCAGCUUCAGUGCAGGUCUUGUCUCUGGUUAAUUGUUGUAGGAUUAUAGCUACGCCUGGUUCAAGCACAAACAAUUAGUACGUACAUAAUCUCUCUCUCUCUCUCUCUCUCUCUCUCUCUCUCUCUCUCUCCAUAUGUUUUUGCUCUAUAUUGUGUAAUUGACAACCUUUAUCCUCAGCAAGAUCUGCAUAAAGUUGAGCGCUGCAUACGCAUAUGGACAUGGAGAGGGUCACAAUACACACGGCAGCAUGUUUCACCAUAGCAUUCGUGGUUCUCACCACGAUCAUCUCCAAGAUCAUUGCAAGAAUCAGAACCGUUCAUCUUGUGCGCAAAGGAGAAAGAUCACCAAUUACUCUGCGCCCACCACAUGUUGUGAGUGGAGCUCCUCUAAUGGCAGCCCUGCUCACACUUGUGACGCCCAAGAAGGGUUUACAUGCUGCAAUCCAUGAACUACACAUGAAGAUGGGAAGUGUGUUCACAGUGAACCUUUUUGGGCUAAAGAAGGUGACCUUAAUUAACAUUAUUUUGCAGAUGGCACGAAUCUUAAAUUUAAGAGUAUUCUUUGACUUACAAUCUCACGUACAUGUCAUCAAUUUUUGAAGGUUACAUUUUUGGUUGGGCCAGAGGUCACUCCUCAUUUCUUCAAGGGAUCGCCAUCCGAUAUCGACUUCGGGGAUACAGCUAAGAUCAUUGUGCCCGUCCUCGGUCCAGGAGUUCUGUUUGGUGUGGACAUGGCUACCAGGAAUGAGCAGAUCCGAUUUUGUACCAAGGCGAUACAGCCGGCGAGGUUGCGAAGAGAUGUUCAUUCCAUGGUUUGCGAAGUGGAGGUAUUUUUUCUUUUAUUAUAUAAUAAAGAUAUAUCUUUCCCGGCCUCUGCCUCAGGGGAUGUACGCAACCUGAUUAGGAACGCAAGUUCCUCUAUUUUGAUUGAUAUGCAGCACUUAAUUACUCCACCUUAUGAUUAUUAUUUUUUGAUUAUAAAUCUUUUUUUUUAGAAUCCUUGAUAUGGAAAUUUUUGUAUGUAGGACUACUUUGCAAAAUGGGGACAAAGUGGCACGGUUGAUUUAAAGCAUGAGCUUGGCCACCUAAUCGUGUUGAUCGCAAACAGAUGCUUGCUUGGCAAUGAGAUCAAAGUCAACAACUUGGAAGAAGUGUCAAAACUCCUCCAUGAACUAUUUGAAAACAGCUUCCACAUGAUCAACUUAUUCUUCCCGCACCUCCCAAUUCCGCCGCACCGCCGACGCGACGAAGCGCGUGCAAGGCUGGGAGAAAUACUCCACGAGAUAGUGAGAUCACGUAGAAGAAUUAGCCCAGCCCGAGUUAUGGACAACAAUGAUGACAACGAAGGCGAUGUGUUGCAGAGCUUCAUAGACUCAAAAUACAGUGACGGCCGAUCCAUGACAGAGAGUGAGAUCGUCGGGCUACUCAUUGCCAUCUUGUUCGCCGGGCAGCAUACGAGCUCAAGUAGCAGCACCUGGACAGGAGCUUGCCUGCUAAGCAAUCAAAAGUACAUGACAGCUGCCAUGGAAGAGCAACAGAAAAUCAUUGAGCAAAAUGGAGAACCCAUUGACUACACCAUCUUGUCAAAGAUGGAUACCUUGCGUUUCUGUAUCAAAGAGGCACUGAGGCUUUAUUCUCCGACGCCAUUAUUACUUCGUCAUGCACACAAGAGCUUCGCUGUGCAAACCAGAGAUGGCAUGGAAUAUGAGAUCCCAGAAGGGCAUGCUUUGGCGUGCUCCAUAGCAGUAAGCAACAAGUUGCCUUACAUAUUUAAGAACCCUAAUGUGUAUGAUCCAUGCCGGUUUGGCCCAGGAAGAGAGGAGGACAAAACUGGCGGCAAGUUUUCAGACAUAUCGUUUGGUGCUGGGAGGUAUUCUUGCUUGGGACAGGAUUAUGCUUUCAUGCAAAUCAAGGUGAUAUGGAGCUAUUUGCUGAGGAACUUCGAGCUUGAGUUGAUCUCUCCUUUCCCCGAAUUAGAGAAUGAUAAAAUAUUACCAGGACCUAGAGGAAAUGUGAUGGUUACCUACAGGAGAAUGUCAAUAGUUACUUAGCACGAUGCAUGUAAAGUAAUUAAGUGUAAGCUAAUUAUGUGUUGGUGCGUGGUUUUUAUACGUGGUAAAUUAAUAUGCUAAAUAAAUGCUAAUAAAAGGAGGACAAAUAGAGUUGUGCGCAUGUGUAUGUGAGCUAAAUCAUGCACCAAAAAUAAAGAACUUGUUG